CAGCAGUUUUGGUUCGCAGCAUUGCGAUUAAUAGGGAAUCCGGUGAGAAUCCGGAACAGACCCGCUACUGUAAUUCCUUCAAAACUCACCGACAUUAUGUCACUGCCGGAAAGACCGGCGGGAAGGCGUCGAUGAGGGGAUAAGUCAGGAGACCUGCCAGACCAAC
rnacentral:ncRNA from 1 species